CAAUAGCGUAUAUUAAAGUUGUUGCAGUUAAAAAGCUCGUAGUUGGAUUUCUGGUGGGAGCGAUCGGUCUGGCGCUUAGCGCGAGUACUUGCAUCGUCUCCGGCCAUCCUUGGGGAGAGUCUGUCUGGCAUUAGGUUGUCGGGCAGGGGAUCCUCAUCGUUUACUGUGAAAAAAUUAGAGUGUUCAAAGCAGGCUUAUGCCGUUGAAUAUAUUAGCAUGGAAUAAUAAGAUAGGACUUUGGUACUAUUUUGUUGGUUUGCGCACCAAAGUAAUGAUUAAUAGGGACAGUUGGGGGUAUUCGUAUUCCGUUGUCAGAGGUGAAAUUCUUGGAUUUACGGAAGACGAACUACUGCGAAAGCAUUUACCAAGGAUGUUUNCAUUA
rnacentral:rRNA from 1 species